CCUACGGGCGGCAGCAGUGAGGAAUAUUGGUCAAUGGGCGCGAGCCUGAACCAGCCAAGUCGCGUGAGGGAAGACGGUCCUAUGGAUUGUAAACCUCUUUUGUCGGGGAGCAAAAGACGCCACGCGUGGCGUUCCGAGAGUACCCGAAGAAAAAGCAUCGGCUAACUCCGUGCCAGCAGCCGCGGUAAUACGGAGGAUGCGAGCGUUAUCCGUAUUUAGUGGGUUUAAAGGGUGGGCAGGAGGAAGAUCAAGGCAGCGGGAAAAUUGAGAGGCUAAACCUCUUAGAGCCGGUGAAACUGGUAUUCUUGAGUGAGUGAGAAGUAUGCGGAAUGCGUGGUGUAGCGGUGAAAUGCAUAGAUAUCACGCAGAACGCCGAUUGCGAAGGCAGCAAACCGGCGCUCAACUGACGCUCAUGCACGAAAGUGUGGGUAUCGAACAGGAUUAGAUACCCCAGUAGUC
rnacentral:rRNA from 1 species